CCCACUCAUGUUCCCACUCGCUGGUCAAAUAUCUGAUUAUAAUUUACGAAACAGUAAUAAUUAUAUGUUGUAUCCAAAUAUAGAAUAGACAUUACCAAAAUAUUCCGCUUUCCUUUCUUCUAUUGUAAAAUGGAAUUUCCUAAACUCCGACAUACUGACUUCUGAAAAUAUUAAUAUAGUCGUAAGAAAGAUAACAAUCAAAUUAAUACAACCACCUUUUUUAUUAGUUGAUUUGCUAUAGAAAAUUAAAGAUUCUUCACACAAUAUUGCAAAAUAAAUGCAGGUCUACAACGGGUUGAUUCCAAACCUCAUUCAGAAUGCAAAUGUGGCCAUUCAGUAUUCAGUUAUCAUUACAGUUUAGUUCAGGUCAAAGGUAUCAUCAGCAGUAUUUCAGAUGAGUACAAAAAUUAGAGUUGAUCGAGUAUUUUUGUGUGGAUAAUUACUUUGAAUUGUUGAUAAUAUGGAAAAUCAACAUUGUUAUCCCUUUGGAAGUUCAUUCCUUAUUGGAGUUUAAUGACAUUUAUGUCACAGGUUUAAAACAUUUGCAUCAGCAAUACCACAAACAAAUGGAAAAUUAGUGUGGACUGAUUAUUUUUAUGGAAAUUAUGCCCUUUGAAAAAAAGCGAUUACAAAAAUUGCAGGGUAAGGGUAGGGGGUCAGGGGAUAUCCUGUAGCAAUCCUGAAAUAUAAUUGAAAUGUUUUUUUAAGGCUACAGGAAUUUUGCUGGCAUGGAGUAGAUUCAGACAACAAAACCAGUAUGAUACAAAACAGUAACAGAUUCUCAAGACUGAAAAUUAUUCCAGAUCAGUUUUAUUAUAAUGUUGAUGAAGUGAGAACAGCAGAUGAUGCUGCUAUCAGAGUCAAGUUAAUGGUGUUUUAUGAACUCAAAGAUAUAGAUAAAAUGCUGUGUCUGUGCAGAUAUUAUAGCUUAUGCUUCUA